rnacentral:misc_RNA from 1 species
UCUCCGUAGGUGAACCUGCGGAGGGAUCAUUACAGAGUUCAUGCCCUACCGGGUAGAUCUCCCACCCCAUGUUAUUAUUACUUUGUUGCUUUGGCGGGCCGUUAGGCUCCGGCCCGACUACCGGCCCCGGCUGGUAAGCGCCCGCCAGGGGACCCAAAACCCUGAAUAUUAGUGUCGUCUGAGUACUAUAUAAUAGUUAAAACUUUCAACAACGGAUCUCUUGGUUCUG